rnacentral:rRNA from 1 species
GAUGAACGCUGGCGGCGUGCCUAAUACAUGCAAGUCGAGCGAACGGACGAGAAGCUUGCUUCCCUGAUGUUAGCGGCGGACGGGUGAGUAACACGUGGAUAACCUACUUAUAAUACUGGGAUAACUUCGGGAAACCGGAUCUAAUACUGGAUAAUAUUUUGAACCGCAUGGUUCAAAAGUGAAAGACGGUCUUGCUGUCUCUAAUAGAUGGAUCCGCGCUGCAUUAGCUAGUUGGUAAGGUAACGGCUUACCAAGGCAACGAUGCAUAGCCGACCUGAGAGGGUGAUCGGCCACACUGGAACUGAGACACGGUCCAGACUCCUACGGGAGGCAGCAGUAGGGAAUCUUCCGCAAUGGGCGAAAGCCUGACGGAGCAACGCCGCGUGAGUGAUGAAGGUCUUCGGAUCGUAAAACUCUGUUAUUAGGGAAGAACAUAUGUGUAAGUAACUGUGCACAUCUUGACGGUACCUAAUCAGAAAGCCACGGCUAACUACGUG